UGUUAACCACACUCCCAGGAUAUCCAGGGAAGGUCAUCGGUUUACCCAGGAUAUCCAGGGAAGGUCAUCGGUUUACCCAGGAUAUCCAGGGAAGGUCAUCGGUUUAUCCAGGAUAUCCAGGGAAGGUCAUCGGUUUACCCAAUAUAUCCAGGGAAGGCCAUUGUUU